rnacentral:rRNA from 2 species
AUUGGUGCUUGCAUCAUGAUUUACAUUUGAGUGAGUGGCGAACUGGUGAGUAACACGUGGGAAACCUGCCCAGAAGCGGGGGAUAACACCUGGAAACAGAUGCUAAUACCGCAUAACAACUUGGACCGCAUGGUCCGAGUUUGAAAGAUGGCUUCGGCUAUCACUUUUGGAUGGUCCCGCGGCGUAUUAGCUAGAUGGUGGGGUAACGGCUCACCAUGGCAAUGAUACGUAGCCGACCUGAGAGGGUAAUCGGCCACAUUGGGACUGAGACACGGCCCAAACUCCUACGGGAGGCAGCAGUAGGGAAUCUUCCACAAUGGACGAAAGUCUGAUGGAGCAACGCCGCGUGAGUGAAGAAGGGUUUCGGCUCGUAAAACUCUGUUGUUAAAGAAGAACAUAUCUGAGAGUAACUGUUCAGGUAUUGACGGUAUUUAACCAGAAAGCCACGGCUAACUACGUGCCAGCAGCCGCGGUAAUACGUAGGUGGCAAGCGU